rnacentral:rRNA from 1 species
GAUGAACGCCGGCGGCGUGCCUAAUACACGCAAGUCGAGCGAAUGGAUUAAGAGCUUGCUCUUGUGAAGUUAGCGGCGGACGGGUGAGUAACACGUGGGUAACCUGCCCAUAAGACUGGGAUAACUCCGGGAAACCGGGGCUAAUACCGGAUAACAUUUUGAACCGCAUGGUUCGAAAUUGAAAGGCGGCUUCGGCUGUCACUUAUGGAUGGACCCGCGUCGCAUUAGCUAGUUGGUGAGGUAACGGCUCACCAAGGCAACGAUGCGUAGCCGACCUGAGAGGGUGAUCGGCCACACUGGGACUGAGACACGGCCCAGACUCCUACGGGAGGCAGCAGUAGGGAAUCUUCCGCAAUGGACGAAAGUCUGACGGAGCAACGCCGCGUGAGUGAUGAAGGCUUUCGGGUCGUAAAACUCUGUUGUUAGGGAAGAACAAGUGCUAGUUGAAUAAGCUGGCACCUUGACGGUACCUAACCAGAAAGCCACGGCUAACUACGUGCCAGCAGCCGCCGUAA